rnacentral:misc_RNA from 1 species
ACGAAUUUCUAGGAGUUGUGCUGGUUCUUACAAGUGCACGCUCCUUAAUUCUAAUUCACCCCCACUGUGCACUUUAAGAGACGUAUUUCCCCCGUUUACGUGCCUUUAUUGGCUUGGGAUUUCGUCUGUUUUACACACUCUUAUUCGUAUUAGAAUGUAAUUAAGCGGAAACGCUAAAACAUAAUA